GUCCUGCAAGGUCGGGUUUAGACAAAAUUUUGUAUAUGGGAUAGUUGGUCCUUACCCUGAUUUCGUGGUUCUGGAAGUAUGGGCGCAUUCUCCUUGCUGUCAGCACCAGGGCCAGUGCCACCUUCUCUAUCAUUUGGUACCUGGUCUCGGCUGCAUGGAGCGUCCGGCUGACAAAGUACACCGGGUGUUCUUCGCGGUCCACUUCUUGGACGAGGGCAGCGCUGACCGCUUCCUCUGAUAC
rnacentral:lncRNA from 1 species